UACGUAGGGGGCAAGCGUUGUCCGGAAUUAUUGGGCGUAAAGAGCUCGUAGGCGGUCUGUCGCGUCGAAUGUGAAAACCCGGGGCUCAACCCCGGGCCUGCAUUCGAUACGGGCAGACUAGAGUUCGGUAGGGGAGACUGGAAUUCCUGGUGUAGCGGUGAAAUGCGCAGAUAUCAGGAGGAACACCGGUGGCGAAGGCGGGUCUCUGGGCCGAUACUGACGCUGAGGAGCGAAAGCGUGGGGAGCGAACAGG
rnacentral:rRNA from 1 species